GAUGAAGAACGUAGCGAAAUGCGAUAAGUAAUGUGAAUUGCAGAAUUCAGUGAAUCAUCGAAUCUUUGAACGCACCUUGCGCCUUUUGGUAUUCCGAAAGGCACACCUGUUUGAGCGUCAUGAAUACCUCAAUCUCCAUCUUUUCUUCGGAUUGAUGGGUGACUUGGAUGUUGAGCCCUGCUGGUAUGCUAUAUCAGCUGGCUUUAAACUUAUUAGCCGGCUCUGUACUGGAUCGGUUUGACUCGACGUGAUAAUAUUAUCGUUGAGGAUGCAUUUCUCAUGCAGCCGGAAAGUAUCAAAGCAGCUUCUAGCUUGCCUUUAGUGCACUUUUACAUUUUAGACCUCAGAUCAGGUGGGACUACCCGCUGAACUUAAGCAUAUCAAUAAGCGGAGGA
rnacentral:misc_RNA from 1 species